rnacentral:RNase_P_RNA from 1 species
GGUUUGUACCGGACAAUCGCGUCUAGCAAUAGAUGAGGAAAGUCCGAACACAGCCUUGUCGCAAGACAACGGAGCAAGUAGCGGGUAAUUCCCGCCUGGAGCAAUCCAUGAGGUGCGAGCAGAGACGCUGAUGCUGAAAAGCUAAGGUUCCAUUCACUAUCGCAAGAUAGAUAAUGGAAUAGGUCUGUCGUAAGACAGAAUUGAAACGGCUAAACCCUUACUUCUGUGCAAGACCGUGCUAGUUGCGCAUUCGCAAGUUUGCGUAACAUGAGAGUCGCUUGAGCCCGCCAGCAAUGGCGGGCCUAGAUAAAUGAUUGUCGUGUAUGUCGCAAGACGUACAUACAGAAUUCGGCUUAUAGGUACAAAUCACAA